UACGGAGGGUGCAAACGUUUGCUCGGAAUCAUUGGGCGUAAAGCGCACGUAGGCGCCUGUUAAGUCGGGUGUGAAAGCCCUGGGCUCAACCCAGGAAGUGCACUCGAAACUGGCGGGCUUGAAUAUGGAAGAGGGGUCGCGGAAUUCCCGGUGUAGAGGUGAAAUUCGUAGAUAUCGGGAGGAACACCAGUGGCGAAGGCGGCG
rnacentral:rRNA from 1 species